GAUGAACGCUGGCGGCGUGCCUAAUACAUGCAAGUCGAGCGAACGGACGAGAAGCUUGCUUCUCUGAUGUUAGCGGCGGACGGGUGAGUAACACGUGGAUAACCUACCUAUAAGACUGGGAUAACUUCGGGAAACCGGAGCUAAUACCGGAUGAUAUUUUGAACCGCAUGGUUCAAAAGUGAAAGACGGUCUUGCUGUCACUUAUAGAUGGAUCCGCGCUGCAUUAGCUAGUUGGUAAUGUAACGGCUUACCAAGGCAACGAUGCAUAGCCGACCUGAGAGGGUGAUCGGCCACACUGGAACUGAGACACGGUCCAGGCUCCUACGGGAGGCAGCAGUAGGGAAUCUUCCGCAAUGGGCGAAAGCCUGACGGAGCAACGCCGCGUGAGUGAUGAAGGUCUUCGGAUCGUAAAACUCUGUUAUUAGGGAAGAACAUAUGUGUAAGUAACUGUGCACAUCUUGACGGUACCUAAUCAGAAAGCCACGGCUAACUACGUG
rnacentral:rRNA from 1 species